rnacentral:rRNA from 1 species
UGCCAGCCGCCGCGGUAAUACGGAGGGUGCGAGCGUUAAUCGGAAUUACUGGGCGUAAAGCGCACGCAGGCGGUUUGUUAAGCUAGAUGUGAAAGCCCCGGGCUCAACCUGGGAUGGUCAUUUAGAACUGGCAGACUAGAGUCUUGGAGAGGUGAGUGGAAUUCCGAGUGUAGAGGUGAAAUUCGUAGAUAUUCGGAGGAACACCAGUGGCGAAGGCGGCUCCCUGGCCAAAGACUGACGCUCAUGUGCGAAAGUGUGGGUAGCGAACAGGAUUAGAUA